rnacentral:lncRNA from 1 species
CCUCCCAGCUGCUGCCGCCGCCGCUGCUCCUGCCGCCGCCGCUGCUGCUGCCUCCUCCCAGCUCCUGCCUGCAACAGCCAAACCCCGCGAGCGUUGCACACAUGCGGACUUCCACCCCUGUAAGACUGGAGGAAAGGGCUCUGCUACCCUGACUCACCCAGAGCCGGCCGCCUUAUGGGGACUGCAGCAAGAUGGAUGGAAAAUAUGUGCAGGAUCUGUUGUUACAAUAGACAGAAAACUGAACUGUAGUCUAUGUGUAGCUUCCGACCAAAGGAACUUCUUGAGUUAAUAUUAACUUAAGGGACUCCCUUGGGCAAAGUUACUGAUAGUGGCCAAAGGCCCUUCGGUCUGACCAUCUUCCGAGAACCAGAGCUGCUGUAAAGAGAGUUUCCUCUGCACUCUUGACUACUGCCACGUUCUCAGGUACUAGUCUACGGAGGUCCAUUGUAAAGCCAAAAAGAUGGAAAAUGUUUUGUCUUGAUGGUUUUAAUAAUAAAUCCAUUCGCUGCUUGUACAACUA